GGAAUUCUCCUCCAGGCUGUUUGUGCGACGGCGGUUAAAGACUAGCAGCCAUAAUGGUAUGUAACUGGCCUUUGAGAAAAGAUGAAAUAGAGUCUUGGUUUCUUCUGAAGGCCUUUGCCAGGAAAUAAGCUGAGAAGAGUGCUGUAAGACAGAAAUGAAAACAAGGUCACUUAAGAUUUCGCUUCCUUUUGAAUCACGACUUCUCUGUGGAGUACACUGUAGUUUAGUAGAAUCUCAUUGUUCCAUAGAUGUUGGCCACACAGACAGAACAUCUCCAUCGUCCCUGAGUGGUCACUGGGCAUUUCGUGUGAAGAGGCCUUGGGGUCUGAUCACUGCACCCGUGGAAGACUGCGAUGGGGAGAGCUUCCUCAGCGGCAGCAGUGGUGAGGAGGACUGUCCAGUAACUGAGGUCCUUCCUGUGGACCAGGCAGAGGAGACCGUGCCUGUUGCUGAGGAAGAGACUGUUGAUCUCUCUGAGGUAGAAAUGUUGCUUUCUUGAUAUCUUUCCUUCUGUUAAAGACAAA